rnacentral:lncRNA from 1 species
UCAUGAUCACAAAACUUAGAUUUAUCUUAAAGCUGUAAUUGUCAACUCAACACUAACUAUAUCAUAAUUUUUUUUCCAACAGAGAUGAAUAAAAAUGUCAAUAUACUGAGGACAGAAAAUACCUACCUGAGUGACUGAAAAUCGCAGAGGGUAGAAGUAGGUAGAGACAGAAAUUCAGAUGCCCUAGCUGAAAAUUUCACGUUCCACUACUAGGUUGCUUUCUUCUUUAUGCAAAUUCUUUGCAACAGAGUUAGGAGUCAUUUCCUGUGGUUGUGAAUGGAGGGAAUGACAAGAGAUGAACCUCUUGAGAUGGUAGCCUGACAGACUUCAAAUCAAGGAGCAUCUCUUUCUUAGCAAGCAUGAAGAUUAAACGGACUAAUGAAUCAAUGCUUUAGACCAUCCACUCCUGGGAGAACAUAUCACAGUCCCAUCAACAGUGGUCAGGUCAGGGGACAUUCGUUCUUGUCAACUGGAAAGUCUUCUAUCGUUGUGUUGAAAGCCUUGUUUCUCUCUGGGAAAUUACUUUAUUUAAUGGAGAUGGAUACCACUCUACAUAAUGAAAGAUCUUCACAAGGAUCGGAGAGAUAA